rnacentral:misc_RNA from 1 species
CUCUUGGUCAUUUCCGCUAUCGCUGUCGCUGCCGGUGUCGCAUAAUAAUUUGCCACCAUCAUCAAUGUCUCAAUUCAGGCAGAAUUGGGGUUAUCGGGUAAAAUAGGAAUUGUCAUAUUCAUACCAAUUUAACCCUCCUUCUCCAAUGUCGAAAAAUGCAUAUCUGCGGCCGAACCCGCCGCUGAAUUCCUUGUAUCCACGUGCUCCUCCUCCUUUUUCAUCUCCUCCUCCACCUCUCUGACGCUGUGCCUACUUCCAGCUACUUCUCUUUUGUCUUUUUCUCCAUCGUCUCAGUCACUGUUUUGUUCGCGGAUAAAUUGACAUCCACCUCCGUCCCUUCCUCCACCUUCUCAUCCACGAUUCCAUCUACUUCUUCCUUCGUGUCCUUCCCCACCUUCUCAGACUGUUCGAUUUAAACAAAUAACUUCAUUGCCAGUUAAAUAUUCCAAUGGGACUAGGAAAGAAAGGAGGAUGAGGAAGAAGGAGGAAUUUGAAAAAUUAAGACAUAAACAACGAAUAAGGGAAGCACAGAUUAGAAUUGUGGAGAAAACCAAAUUGAAAUUUUU